UGUGGAAGUACAGCUCCAACUACUGGACAGCCGCACGUCAAGUUUUGCGCAAUGAUUUAUUCCAGUGGUGCUUGUAUAGCCAAACUGAGCGGUUAGCCAACCUCACCUCGAUGUGGGCCAAAGGAUUUCCAGAAAACGCGACUCGCAAUUAUUGUGUCCACCUCUCUGUCCCAAAAACCGAGCUGACAGAAAAGAACUGCUCAUUCAAGUUCAUUUUUUCGUGCAAAGGAUCCCCCACGCCUGCUCCACGUUGCUUCACUCCAGUCUGUCCUAAAGAUGCUUGCAGCAAAGAUGAUGCUUUAUAUUCGCCUGGACUGGAUAAUGUGACCAGGUUCUUAA